GCAUUCGUAUGCCGAACCUGCAUGCUCGCACUGUUUUAGGUCUCCGUGUCAGGGAUCCCCGUACCUGAUCCUAACGAAGCUAUAGUCACUGUCCACCUCCCCCUCCACCCCCACCUGGGAGCCACAGGACGGGGCUUGUAGCUGCCCAAGCGAGUGCUCGCUCCGGUUUGUACCUGAGUGGAGGUAGCCCCGGAGAGGGUGCGAGCCCCAGCGGCAUCCCUGGAGCUGUGAGUCAGUUACACAGCCACAGGGGUCCCGCUGGCCGCAUGGAAGUGCUUGUCGACCAAUGGGAGAGGGCGCGCCCAUUCAAACUAGGUUCACUCCAUUCUCCUGAUUGGUCGGCAUGAACGGGCGCUGAUUGGUCACUGUGGCGAC